GAUGUUCUAUUUCUUUGUUGACUUAUUUGGAACCUGCUAUAGAAAGAAACGGGACCCGUUUCCACAUCCUUCUCAGAUUGUGAAACCCUGACUGCUGUUGCCAUUACUGACACUCAUUUACAACAUGUGGGUUCACUCAGCUUUCACAGAUGGAGUUCUGUCUGCAUUUGUUGACUGAGUCCAUUUGAGCAGAGUCAUUCAGGUUUGUCUGAAUAUGAAACCAAAAAGCCUGAGGAGAAAUAUAACAUUAUGAACUGCACUGAAAAGAACGAAUCAGACACAUCCUGGAGAAAUAGAGAUUAUCUUCUGGAACUGACCGACCUCUGAAGCUCAAUACAUUCUGUUUUUGAAGUGUGAGGAUUGAGCACCAUGUAUGCAUUCAGACAAUGAAUCUUAACUGCAAUCAAACAGUACAUCUUAAUUAAUUAGUUGGACAGGAGUCCAAACCAAAGAGGCUGUGAGUUUUAAUGACUAUUGAA